rnacentral:rRNA from 1 species
AGAGUUUGAUCCUGGCUCAGAUUGAACGCUGGCGGCGUGCCUAACACAUGCAAGUCGAGCGGUAACAGGUGUAGCAAUACAUGCUGACGAGCGGCGAACGGGUGAGUAAUGCUUCGGAAUCUGCCCAAUGGUGGGGAAUAACCAGCCGAAAGGUUGGCUAAUACCGCAUAAGUCCUACGGGAGAAAGCGGGGGAUCGUAAGACCUCGCGCCGAUGGAUGAGCCGAAGCCGGAUUAGCUAGUUGGUAGGGUAACGGCCUACCAAGGCGACGAUCCGUAGCUGGUCUGAGAGGACGACCAGCCACACUGGGACUGAGACACGGCCCAGACUCCUACGGGAGGCAGCAGUGGGGAAUAUUGGACAAUGGGGGAAACCCUGAUCCAGCGACGCCGCGUGUGUGAAGAAGGCCUGCGGGUUGUAAAGCACUUUUAGUGGGGAUGAAAAGCUCAGGGAUAACACCUCUGGGUCUUGACCUAACCCACAGAAAAAGCACCGGCUAACUCUGUGCCAGCAGCCGCGGUAAUACAGAGGGUGCGAGCGUUAAUCGGAAUUACUGGGCGUAAAGCGUGCGUAGACGGUAGCGUAAGUCGGAUGUGAAAGCCCCGGGCUCAACCUGGGAACUGCAUUCGAGACUGCUCUGCUAGGGUGCGGAAGAGGGAAGCGGAAUUUCCGGUGUAGCGGUGAAAUGCGUAGAUAUCGGAAGGAACACCAGUGGCGAAAGCGGCUUCCUGGUCCAGCACCGACGUUCAGGCACGAAAGCGUGGGGAGCAAACAGGAUUAGAUACCCCCGUAGUCC